AUUGCUUCUCGGCCUUUUGGCUAAGAUCAAGUGUAAAAUAUCAUUGUGUUGUGAUUUAAAUCUUGCUAUCUCCCCAAAGCCUCAUCAUUUUAUAGGAGGGGCUUUAAAAGGAUAAUUUGAUUAUGGGGAUAUUCUAAUUUACU
rnacentral:snRNA from 1 species